rnacentral:rRNA from 1 species
CCUACGGGAGGCAGCAGUGAGGAAUAUUGGUCAAUGGACGAGAGUCUGAACCAGCCACGUAGCGUGAAGGAUGACUGCCCUAUGGGUUGUAAACUUCUUUUAUAUGGGAAUAAAACGUUCCACGUGUGGGAUUUUGUAUGUACCAUAUGAAUAAGGAUCGGCUAACUCCGUGCCAGCAGCCGCGGUAAUACGGAGGAUCCGAGCGUUAUCCGGAUUUAUUGGGUGUAAAGGGAGCGUAGGUGGAUUGUUAAGUCAGUUGUGAAAGUUUGCGGCUCAACCGUAAAAUUGCAGUUGAAACUGGCAGUCUUGAGUACAGUAGAGGUGGGCGGAAUUCGUGGUGUAGCGGUGAAAUGCUUAGAUAUCACGAAGAACUCCGAUUGCGAAGGCAGUUCACUGGACUGCAACUGACACUGAGGCUCGAAAGUGUGGGUAUCAAACAGGAUUAGAUACCCGGGUAGUC